GUCUGACAAACUUAUUCCUCAACAUCCUUUGUAGCUUAGUAGUCCCAAGUUUUGUCUCCAAAAUUCCUAUUACAUCAAUAUUAUAAAUGUUGAACCCCGUUUUGCUUGAGAGGACGUUCAAUCCCCUAAUUUUCUAAAAGCCAGUCUUCAUGAUGUUGAAGCAAGGAAAAUUCCCUUCUUCUUGUCUUUUAUGACCACCCAUCUUUCUUUGCUCCUCAAACUUUCCCUAAGUUUAUCAUUGGUCAUUUCCCUCAAAGUUAUUCCAUGCGACUUUGUGGAACAAUUUUCCCCUGAGCUAUCCACAUGAGUAUUCACCUUAGUCGAUACAAAGAUUGGUAUAAUUCGUCCCACUUGCUUCUUUUGCUAUGACCCCUUCCUUUUACUGACUACCUUGGUGAAUGGGACCUCAUCCUGGUCCGUUAUGUGCUGUAGAAGAUCAUUUUUCAGUCCCGCCAUAACAGCUGAAUCGAGAUAUCCCUAAUAGCCUGUGUACCCACGUCUGCCUGAGGCAAACUGUCAGCUGGAAAUUGUCUAGCUGAAUCUGCCUGAUCAAAGCUGUCCCCCACAACCUGUUCAACCUGAAUCAAACCAUUCCCAGCACCAGUUCAGUCAUGUGUACGUUAGCUAACAAGUUCCCAACAACCUAUCCCUGCUUGACAACUUGAACCUGGCCUGAACCUGUUUGGCCGCCUGAUAUUUUAAAGAGCACGCAGCCAAAGUGUGUUCGAACAUCUUGCAAUUACCGCAAAAAUUUAGGCUCAUACUAAUAAAUUACUGUUGAACUCUCAAUUUUUCGGUAGGCAAAUUCAUCUCAACGAUACACAUCAAAUCUUUAGAAGCAUCCACUUCCACAAGAAUCUGAGCAUAUGACAAUCUCCCCUUGUUAUAUGUAAGCUUAUCCUUGGAUAUAGGUUUACCAAUCUUAGAAGCAAUCUUCGACAAAAC
rnacentral:lncRNA from 1 species